ACCACCAAGUUUUCCCUGUAUGUUGGAGGAUGAGAAAAAUGUGCAAAUGCAACACAAAAAACAAGCAGAUUGGGAGUGUGUCAUAUGAAAGCAGGAUGCUGGUGCUCCCUACUGUGGCACCUAAAGUUAUGAUGAUCACUGUUGAAUAUUUUUACUGCAACAGGGCACACUAAAAGGUUCAAACUACACUUCAUUUAUCAUUAUCCCUAGCAGUUCUCUUAAAUUCCUUUUGAGCAAAUAAUGAAAAUAAAAAGUACUGUGUAGGUAAAGUUCAACAUGAAAGGUGCUAUAUUUAGUAAAAUGAUAUAGAUAAAAUAAAAUAAUAUAAGAUUAAAUGAGAUAAAUAGCCAAAUCACUGAAGCUGUAGAUUUAUAUUCAAACAGAAGUUUCUUGAAAGGACCUUUUAUUAAAAAAAAAUCAAACUUUGGCUGCUAAGUGAGAAUGGUAAGCUGGUGUCAACUGUGUGGUUUAAAAAGAAAAGCAGCUUCCUGAGUUCAUUGUACCUUUGCCUUGUCAAGUGCAGGCCUCUGUGCAGAGCUGAUAGAGCAGGAAAGGAAGGGUGGAUCUGCUUGAGACUUCCUGUCUUAACUGUGAGUCACUGAGGCCGACUGCGGCUCUCUCUGGACUGUUGAGCUUCACUGCUCUCUGGAUGGCAGGAAUGUGGCUGCACAAGGCAGCUCCUGGGUCAGGAUCUUCUAAAGACUAUGUGGUGGCUGUCUGCCCAUAAGUGUAGUAAUCACAAGGCACUACAUGAGGGUAAAAGUUCAAAAGGAGAAAAAAUAAUAAUGUUUUAGGAAAAAAGACCAGCACUAUAUUUACACUUGUUUGCAGUGUAGUGCAAGGGAAAUUAACCUCUCUAUCUCCUGAUUUUGGAGAAGCAACAGUGCUUUACAAAGGAUCUUCAAUUUCUGUUAUUAAUACAAAGCAAUGGAUUACAAGAUGAAAGGAUCUUUACAUUCUGUCAUCCUCUGUAUAAAUACAAUUCUAAGCUGAUUGUUUUGUAUGUUUGCUUGCCUGUUUGUUUGUUUCUUUGUUCGCCAAUCGCACAAAAAAAAACCUGAACCGAUUCUCAUAAAAGUUUGCAUGCAUGUUGCUGUUGGCUACCUGGGGUAUUGGGGAGCGGGACUGUAAUGGAGGGAAGAAACUCCAAAACUAGUGCCAACAUGAGGACUACAAUUCCUAUCAAGCAGCAGGAGUGUGAUGGGGCUGAUGGGAGGACUCCAUUAUCAGCAUGUACAACGUUUUGUACCAGCCAAAGCAGAAUCUCAUCUAAGACAGGUCAAACCCUGGAAGCUGUUGUGGAAAAAAGAAUGGUGGAAAAACUGGAUACCAUCGUGAAAAAUCCCCUCCAGGAGGCGCUGUCUUGGAACACUUUUAGCCACAGGAUCAUUCCAAUAUGGUGUAUUAAGAAGUGACUCUGGGGGUCUAUCAGGAUUGUGAGGAGCAGGAGCAUAUAUUAAUGGAAGGAUGACAGUGACUGGGCCAGGAAUUAAACUGGAGUCUCAGGAACAGGGUGGCAGCAGGCCUGGCCACUCUGUCACCAAGUGAUCUUAGUGUAUGCACACAUAAAUACACAUACGUCACCUUUCCUUGUGUGUGGAGCCCAUUAAUAUUGUAUCAGACUGAUAAAUAUGGUAA